rnacentral:rRNA from 1 species
AUUGAACGCUGGCGGCAUGCUUUACACAUGCAAGUCGAACGGCAGCGCGGGCUUCGGCCUGGCGGCGAGUGGCGCACGGGUGAGUAAUGCAUCGGAACGUGCCCAGUAGUGGGAGAUAGCCCGGCGAAAGCCGGAUUAAUACCGCAUACGACCUGAGGGUGAAAGCGGGGGACCGAAAGGCCUCGCGCUAUUGGAGCGGCCGAUGUCGGAGUAGCAAGUUGGUGGGGUAAAGGCUUACCAAGGCGACGAGCCGUAGCUGGUCUGAGAGGACGACCGGCCACACGGGGACGGAGACACGGCCCAGACUCCUGCGGGAGGCAGCAGUGGGGAAUUUUGGACAAUGGGGGCAAACCUGGUCCAGCCAUGCCGCGUGCGGGAAGAAGGCCUUCGGGUUGUAAACCGCUUUUGUUCGGGAAGAAAUCCUCUGGGCUAAUACCCCGGGGGGAUGACGGUACCGGAAGAAUAAGCACCGGCUAACUACGUG